CUAUAUACAGGGGGUACCAGUACAGAGUGAAUGUGGAGGCUAUAUACAGGGGGAACCAGUACAGAGUCAAUGUGGAGGCUAUAUACAGGGGGUACCGGUACAGAGUCAAUGUGGAGGCUAUAUACAGGGGGAACCGGUACAGAGUCAAUGUGGAGGCUAUAUACAGGGGGUACCAGUACAGAGUCAAUGUGGAGGCUAUAUACAGGGGGUACCAGUACAGAGUCAAUGUGGAGGCUAUAUACAGGUGGUACCGGUACAGAGUCAAUGUGGAGGCUAUAUACAGGUGGUACCGGUACAGAGUCAAUGUGGAGGCUAUAUACAGGUGGUACCAGUACAGAGUCAAUGUGGAGGCUAUAUACAGGGGAUACCGGUACAGAGUCAAUGUGGAGGCUAUAUACAGGUGGUACCAGUACAGAGUCAAUGUGGAGGCUAUAUACAGGGGGUACCAGUACAGAGUCAAUGUGGAGGCUAUAUACAGGGGGUACCGGUACAGAGUCAAUGUGGAGGCUAUAUACAGGGGGUACCAGUACAGAGUCAAUGUGGAGGCUAUAUACAGGGUGUUAAGUUGCAGAGUCAAUGUGGAGGCUAUAUACAGGGGGUACCGGUACAGAGUCAAUA
ensembl:lncRNA